AGCUCCAAUAGCGUAUAUUAAAGUUGUUGCAGUUAAAAAGCUCGUAGUUGGAUUUCGGGAUAGAAUGCACGGUGGGCCGCAAGGUUUUACUGGACGUUCUGUUCUUCCUUCUGUAGACCACCGUUGUUCUUAACUGAAUGGCGGCCGGGAUGCAGAUCUUUUACUUUGAAUAAAUUAGAGUGUUCAAAGCAGGCAUUUGUUUGAAUACGUUAGCAUGGAAUAAUGGAAUAGGACUUUGGUUCUAUUUUGUUGGUUUCUAGGACCGAAGUAAUGAUUAAUAGGGAUAGUUGGGGGCAUUAAUAUUUAAUUGUCAGAGGUGAAAUUCUUGGAUUUAUGAAAGAUUAACUUCUGCGAAAGCAUUUGCCAAGGAUGUUUUCAUUAAUCAAGAACGAAAGUACGC
rnacentral:rRNA from 1 species